AGCCACACGGUCCUGGAGUUUGAUCGUUUUGCUGCUCCCUGUUUGGAUCCUGUCAGUAGGAACAGUGUGGGCCUUUAUCAUCAGAAACAAGAGUACGGCUGGACACAUCAACUAUAUAGUUCAAAACAGUUGGAAUCUUAUACCUACCUCAGCAUUUUUCAAAACAGCAGGGCAAACCCAUUGGUGGUAUCAUGACUAUCAUUAAGGAAGAGAGUGGGAGAAAGGAGAAGAAAAGAAAGGGCAGAGCAUGGAAAAUAUCAGGGUGCAUUUCACAUGGUAAAGAUUCAGUACCAUUGGAAUAUACAUUCACAUUGGAGUGUUGAACAGUGAGAAAGCAAAAUCCUUUUUGAGGAAGCAGAUGGUGAAAUACGACAUGAAGGAUGACUCUGGGCACAGAUAAGGAGAUUCCUUCGGACUCCUUCUCUACACGGUAGAGCCCACAAAUACAUGUGUUGUUGCAACUGAGCUUCUCUGAGACUCUGUUCCAUUCAAGAGGCUGAUAAAAAAUGUGACCAUUUAGCUACCAGUGGAAAUCUCAGAGUGUGUGAAGCAUAGCAACUAGGAGAGUUCCAAGGAAAUCACCCAGCAACAAUCAGAAAGUUGAAAACAAAGCAAACCAGUAACCAAAACAUAACCCAGACCUGCCAAGGAGUCAAGGAAAGAAAAAAAAAAAACUCCAUGCAGAGUGGAGAUGCUCUGUGUCAGGUUAAAGUCAGCAGAGUAACAAGACCUGUACUUGCUUACUCAUAUUUAGUGUAUGCCUACCAUGUGCUAGUGCUUUGAUGCAGGAAUUCUAAUAUGAAUAAGAAACAGUCCCUGUCUUCAGUAAAAUAAUAAUAAUGUGUUCUUCACACCCCAACAGUAUAGUGUGAUAAAUGCAAGGGUAAGUCAUCAGCAGAGUGCCAUGGGAACACAGAGGGUUGGGGAGUUAAGAGCCAUGUUUAAUUUGAGGUGUCUUUAGUGGAUCUACUCAUUUGGCAGUUGGAUUUACAGGCCAGAGGCUGGAGCAGACAACCUGAAUGGUGAUACUGGUGAUAGGAAUAUGGAUAGGUAGUAGUGGAAGUCGUGAAUUUGGAGAAAGCCAUGGAGAAACUCAUGAAAAUGAGCUAAGAGCUCUGGGGAGCAUUGGCAUUUAAAAGGGAAGCCAGAAAAAAGGAAGAUGGAAGGAGGUAGAAAUCAACCAGUAAAGAGAAGCAGCAGAAGAGGGAGGGAAGAGAGGGCACCAAGAAAAAGCCAAUGUUGCACAGCACUUUGAAGUUUACGUGGGAUUUGAAACCCAAGGGGUCAUUGGUGACAUUCAUCAGACUGGUUUAGAUCAGUGCUGGGUGGAAGCCAAGUUACUGUUGUUGAGAAUUUAUGCUGGUUGAGGAAGGAGAGGAGCAAACAUAAAUAUUUUCAUGGUGUUGUAAAGAAGAGUGUUACAGUUUUUACAUUUGACUGGCACCCUUUGACACAGACCUGCUAGUGGCUAUUCAAGUAAUCACUGUAGGCUGUAUUUUAAAGACUUCUCCCUCUACAUCAAAAACUAAUGAUGUAAUGUAUGGUGAUUAACAUAACAAUAAAGAAUUAUUAAAAAAAAUAAA